rnacentral:rRNA from 1 species
AUACGGAGGAUGCGAGCGUUAUCCGGAUUUAUUGGGUUUAAAGGGAGCGUAGGUGGGAUAUUAAGUCAGCUGUGAAAGUUUGGGGCUCAACCUUAAAAUUGCAGUUGAUACUGGUUUCCUUGAGUACGGUACAGGUGGGCGGAAUUCGUGGUGUAGUGGUGAAAUGCUUAGAUAUCACGAAGAACUCCGAUCGCGAAGGCAGCUCACCGGGCCGGAACUGACACUGAUGCUCGAAAGUGCGGGUAUCAAACAGGAUUAGAUACCCUGGUAGUCCGCACAGUAAACGAUGAGUACUCGCUGUUUGCGAUACACGGUAAGCGGCCAAGCGAAAGCGUUAAGUAUUCCACCUGGGGAGUACGCCGGCAACGGUGAAACUCAAAUGAAUUGACGGGG